AUUGAACGCUGGCGGCAGGCCUAACACAUGCAAGUCGAGCGAGCGUCGGACGGGUGAGUUAUGUAUGGGGGCUGCACGAUAGAGGGGGAUAACUACUGGAAACGGUGGAUAAUACCGCAUACUGUCGGAUGACCCAUAUGGGAUGAGCUAGUAGGUCUGGUAAUGGCUGACCUAGGAGACGCUCCCUAGCUGGUCUGAUAGGAUGAUCAGCCACACUGGGACUGAGACACGGCCCAUACUCCUACGGAGGCAGCAGGGGGGAAUAUUUCACAAUGGGCGCAAGCCUGAGGCAGCCAUGCCGCGUGUAUGAAGAAGGCCCUAGGGUUGUAAAGUACUUUCAGUCGGGAGGCGUUACCGACAGAAGAAGCACCGGCUAACUCCGUGCCAGCCGCCGCGGUAAUUC
rnacentral:rRNA from 1 species